UGGGGAAUAUUGCACAAUUGGCGCAAGCCUGAUGCAGCCAUGCCGCGUGUAUGAAGAAGGCCUUCGGGUUGUAAAGUACUUUCAGCGGGGAGGAAGGGAGUAAAGUUAAUACCUUUGCUCAUUGACGUUACCCGCAGAAGAAGCACCGGCUAACUCCGUGCCAGCAGCCGCGGUAAUACGGAGGGUGCAAGCGUUAAUCGGAAUUACUGGGCGUAAAGCGCACGCAGGCGGUUUGUUAAGUCAGAUGUGAAAUCCCCGGGCUCAACCUGGGAACUGCAUCUGAUACUGGCAAGCUUGAGUCUCGUAGAGGGGGGUAGAAUUCCAGGUGUAGCGGUGAAAUGCGUAGAGAUCUGGAGGAAUACCGAUGGCGAAGGCGGCCCCCUGGACGAAGACUGACGCUCAGGUGCGAAAGCGUGGGGAGCAAACAGG
rnacentral:rRNA from 1 species